UUUUCAAACACGUAGGUCAGGAG
rnacentral:piRNA from 1 species